UGGUUAGCUAUACCCAAUUUUUUUUAAACUAAUGUUUCCAUUAUUUAAUUUCUCAUUACAUCGUUCUCACUGGUUAAUUGGCCAGAGAAGUCAACUUAUGAAGAUACCGACGUCUAACAUUAUUUUUAUUAGCUUUGUUUUUCAAAACUAGCUAGUGGCAUUAUUUUUAAUGUGGUGAUUCAGUUGUAAUUAUCGCCAUGUUUCCAUUCACUUCAAUCCCUUCAAUUAAGCACAACGACACUCAGUCGCAAAGCUCCCUCCUUUGAUCUGUUUUCCUCUCUCUCAGCAAAACCUUCCCAACAAACAUCAAACACUGCCAUUCAAACAUGUAGUUUCCUAUUCUUAUGCGGCUCAUAGCUUUGACUACACUGGGCUUGCGACAAAAGGUGUGUGGUGAAGCAGAGACGUUACCAGCUGAGACAUCUUAGCUUAAUUGGUUGGUGAUCUAGAACGAGUUUCCUAUUCUUAUUCGGCCCAUAGCUUUGCCUUCAUUCGGCUUGCGACAAAAGGUGUGUGGUGAACCAGAGGCGUUAUAUACCAGCUGAGACAUCUUAGCUUGGUUGGUGACCAAGAACGAGAACUAGUGGGCAUUAUGAUCAUCAAGUGCGGUGACGAAAUAUAAAAUUUUGUUUACAACUUCUCAUUCAACGAUCAUCUCACUCUCUGCCAUUCAAAACUCGAGUUUCCUAUUCAUUUUAUGCUUGCGACAAGAGGUGCGUAGUGCACCGGAGGUCUAGAGUACUAAGACAUCCUAGCUUGGUCGGACAACUGGGAAAAGGUAUGCCUUCAACGCAGUCUCGGUUUCAUUUGAUUUUACAUACAUGGUUAUAAAUAACUCUUUGUUUUAUACAAGUGCGUGCCCCCUAAACAGAAAAGGAAAAAGAAGGUAAACAAUGGUA